rnacentral:ncRNA from 1 species
AGAACUGAUUAUCCGACAGGUGGAAUGAUGGGGUAACGCCCGGAAACGCCUGCUCUAAUACUCCGAAUGGCGUGGCGGCAGCUAAGUGCCAAAGCGUCAUAAGCUCGGUGAAGUCGGCUGAGAGCGUACCCUAAAGACGCGAAAGCGGUACAGGAACAGCGAACCAGAGGUGGUCGAGUGCGUGAUAGGCCGGGAGUCCA